GAGUUGUCAGGGAGAAGACCCGGAACAUACUGAAAGUUCUUGAUCAAAGCCUCGAGGUGAAUCAAAAAAGAGAGUGUCUGCUGAAGUGCCUUAUUCUGUACCUUGGGGAAGACGUGGACAAACUUAUCAAGGAGUAUCUGGUUGUGCAGAAGGAUGAAGCUGAAACCGAGCUUGAGAGGUGUACAAUGGCA